rnacentral:sRNA from 1 species
AAAAAUCAUUCUUGAACCGUAGACAGUAGGAGCCAAAAGCUUAAUUUCCUACCGAGGGGAUGGGUCUAAUAGUAUGAUGAUAGAGCCUUUCUUCGAUUUUGUCUACGAAGGAGGGCUUUUUAUAUGAA